UCUCUUCGGCGGAGAAGACGACGAUCUGAACUGAUUGCAUCCUAUCGGCGAAUUUGAGAAAAACAAGAUCUUGAGGCGGAAAUUGAAUAAUUGAUUGACUGUAGACAUGGCGGAAGAGCACAGAUGCGAAGCCCCAGAAGGCCACCACCUCUGCGCAAACAACUGCGGGUUCUUCGGCAGCCCGGCCACCAUGAACCUCUGCUCCAAAUGCUACAGAGAUUUCUGCCUCAAGGAGCAGCAGGAGGCCUCGAUUAAAUCCACCGUCGAAGCCUCCCUCUCCGCCUCCGCCGCCUCCGCCGCCGCCGCUUCUCCUCCUUGUUCUCCGCCUUCAACAUCCUUGCCUUCUUCUGCGGCAGCGAUCGAGACUCAAUGUCAGC
rnacentral:lncRNA from 1 species